rnacentral:rRNA from 1 species
UACGUAGGGGGCUAGCGUUGUCCGGAAUCAUUGGGCGUAAAGCGCGUGUAGGCGGUUCGGUAAGUCCGCUGUGAAAGUCGGGGGCUCAACCCUCGAAAGCCGGUGGAUACUGUCGGACUAGAGUGCGGAAGAGGCGAGUGGAAUUCCUGGUGUAGCGGUGAAAUGCGCAGAUAUCAGGAGGAACACCGGUGGCGAAGGCGGUUCUCUGGGCAUGAUCUGACGCUGAGGAGCGAAAGUGUGGGGAGCGAACAGG